UAUGAGGCGGGCUGGACCUCUCGGGGUUACAGCCUUGCUGAAUUAUUCACCCUUGUCUUUUGCGUACUUCUUGUUUCCUUGGUGGGUUCGCCCACCACUAGGACAAACAUAAACCUUUUGUAAUUGCAAUCAGCGUCAGUAACAAAUUAAUAAUUACAACUUUCAACAACGGAUCUCUUGGUUCUGGCAUCGAUGAAGAACGCAGCGAAAUGCGAUAAGUAGUGUGAAUUGCAGAAUUCAGUGAAUCAUCGAAUCUUUGAACGCACAUUGCGCCCUUUGGUAUUCCAAAGGGCAUGCCUGUUCGAGCGUCAUUUGUACCCUCAAGCUUUGCUUGGUGUUGGGCGUCUUGUCUCUAGCUUUGCUGGAGACUCGCCUUAAAGUAAUUGGCAGCCGGCCUACUGGUUUCGGAGCGCAGCACAAGUCGCACUCUCUAUCAGCAAAGGUCUAGCAUCCAUUAAGCCUUUUUUUCAACUUUUGACCUCGGAUCAGGUAGGGAUACCCGCUGAACUUAAGCAUAUCAAUAAGCGGAGGAAA
rnacentral:rRNA from 1 species